UACGGGGGGAGCAAGCGUUGUUCGGAUUUACUGGGCGUAAAGGGCGCGUAGGCGGUCAUGACAAGUCACUUGUGAAAUCUCCGGGCUUAACUCGGAACGGUCAAGUGAUACUGUCAGACUAGAGUGCAGAAGGGGCAACUGGAAUUCUCGGUGUAGCGGUGAAAUGCGUAGAUAUCAGGAGGAACACCGAUGGCGAAGGCAGGUCUCUGGGCCGAUACUGACGCUGAGGAGCGAAAGCGUGGGGAGCGAACAGG
rnacentral:rRNA from 1 species